CUCCACCACCUACGCAGAAAAGCGUGCGGGUGGCCAGGCGUCGCGGCUUCGACAGCCUGGCGUCUGUUUGACCUACGUCCUGCAGCUCCGAAUCCCCACGCGGUCGGAGUUUCCCACAGGGAGCACCACCUGCGGAAAACACGCUUCCCGGCAGAAACAAGAUAGGCCUCCCUAACCGAGAGCCUCUCCCUAAUGGGAUCACGCUCUGCCCGAGAGAAAUGCGCCAGCGCCCACCUCCUGAGCACAGUCCUCACCUCAGAGAGCUACGCAUCCUAACACCAACACCCAGAGGAGGGUCAUGGUCAUUAAUUCUACCGGCUUCCUGGAGCAUGCUCAUCCACUCCCUUGGCUUUAACCAUCACCUCUGAGUCAAUAACUCAGGAACGGUCUUUCAGCUUGGACCUGCAUUUCCAUCAGCUUUUGCCAAACCUGCUCCUCUCCGGUGCUCCCUGACUCACUGGAUAGCACUCGCCACCUGAGACACAAACUCCCACUGUCAUGAUAAUUAAUGUUUAUUGGCUGCCAGUUAUGCACCAGGCACUUUACUGGUGUUGUCUCAUUUUACCAUCCCAGCGACUCUGGGAGGUGGAUGUUAUCCCUGUUUUAUAGCCAGGAAAGGGAGGCUCAGAGAAGUUAAGUAACUGGCCCAAGGUCAUAUAAUUAGUAACUGGCAGGGCCAGGUUGUCUGAUACUAAAGUCCACACCUCUGAGCAUUGUGCUGGCUGCCCCAUCAGUCACAGGAUUCUGCACAUCGUUUCCUGAACGCUUCUUGACUUCAUCCCCACCCCACAAGCCUGCCUUUGUUUGGCCCUCAUCCUUACUCACUGUUGGUAUGUGGACCAUACCAACAGCCACACCCACUUUCUGCAACUCAUCCUCGGCAGUGAUCUAAGACCAAAUCUGACCUUGUGAUUUUUUUGCCUAUGACCUCCCAUGGCUCCCUAUUGCCCUCAGGAUCAUGUCCAUGCUCCUGAGCCCUGUGCUGCUCCCAUGCUGUCCCUCCCUGUGUUCCCAACAGGCCCCUUCUCACCCAUGCA